GCCCGGGUGGCGAAACUGGUAGACGCAUGGGACUUAAAAUCCUCCGGCCGCAAGGCCAUGUGGGUUCGACCCCCACCCCGGGCACCA
rnacentral:tRNA from 1 species